rnacentral:rRNA from 1 species
UUAUUGUUUAACCGUACCUCAAACCGACACUGGUAGAUAAAUAGAAUAUAUUAAGGCGUUCAAGAUAACUAUGCUGAAGGAACUCGGCAAAUUAACUCUGUAACUUCGGGAUAAGGAGUAACUUUUAAAGUUGACACUAAAGAGGGAGAAGCGACUGUUUAUUAAAAACACAAGUCUCUGCUAAUUCGUAAGAAGAUGUAUAGGGGCUGACACCUGCCCGGUGCUGUAAAGCGAGACUGAUAUGCUGUUGCAUUGAUGUUAACCUCCAGUAAACGGCGGCUGUAACUCUGACGGUCCAAAGGUAGCGAAAUUCCUUGUCGGGUAAGUUCCGACCUGCAUGAAUGGUGUAAUGAUUUCUCCACUGUCUCCAGCAUAUUCUUGGUGAAUUUGAAAUGCCCGUGAAGAUGCGGGCUCUUUACAGUUAGACGGGAAGACCCCGUGCACCUUUACUAUGAUCUAAAGUUGUAAAAUCAUUUUUUUUGUGUAGAAUAGAUGGAAGCGUAAGCGUCAGUGAAAUACCAUCCUUAAAUUUUGAUUUUACUUAAUUUUUUUAAAAAAGACAGCUUAUGAGAGGUAGUUUGACUGGGGCGGUCACCUCCUAAAGAGUAACGGAGGUGUGCAAAGGCAAAUUCAAGUUUAAUACUGUAGAGUGUAAUGGCACAUAUUUGCUUAACUGUGAGAUUGACAAAUCGAACAGAGAUGAAAGUCGGCCAUAGUGAUCCGGUGGUUCAAAGUGGAAUGACCAUCGCUCAACGAAUAAAAGGUACGCCGGGGAUAACAGGCUGAUGGUUUCUGAGAGUCCAUAUCGACGAGACCGUUUGGCACCUCGAUGUCGGCUCAUCACAUCCUGGAGCUGAAGUAGGUUCCAAGGGUUCGGCUGUUCGCCGACUAAAGUGGUACAUGAGCUGGGUUCAGAACGUCGUGAGACAGUUUGGUCCCUAUCUGCUGUGAAUGUAAAAAAUUGAGAAGCCUAAAUUCUAGUACGAGAGGAUCGAAUUUAGCAAACCUAUGGUGUUUCGAUUGUCUUAUCAAAGGCAUCGUCGAGUAGCUAAGUUUGUAAAAGAUAAUCACUGAAUGCAUCUAAGUGAGAAACUUUCUUCAAAACAAAUUUUUUAAAACGUAAAAGAAUAUUACGCUGAUAGGCUUAUUAU